GUAUUAGCGCAGUGGCAGUAUCGUAGCCAAUGAGGUUAAUCCGAGGCGCGAUUAUUGCUAAUUGAAAACUUUUCCCUAGUGCAAACUGACCAGGAACAGGGUCCUGUCAACUACUGCCCCCUAUGUUGUGG
rnacentral:snRNA from 1 species